rnacentral:rRNA from 1 species
GAUGAACGCUGACAGAAUGCUUAACACAUGCAAGUCGAUUCAAUUUACCUUCGGGUAAUGAGGAUGGCGGACGGGUGAGUAACGCGUAAGGAACUUGCCUCUUGGUCUGGGACAACUGUUGGAAACGACAGCUAAUACCGGAUAUUAUGAGAUUCUUGCAUGGGAAACUUAUGAAAGCUAUAUGCGCCAAGAGAGAUCCUUGCGUUCCAUUAGCUAGUCGGUGGGGUAACGGCCCACCAAGGCGACGAUGGAUAGCCGGCCUGAGAGGGUGAACGGCCACAAGGGGACUGAGACACGGACCUUACUCCUACGGGAGGCAGCAGUGGGGAAUAUUGGACAAUGGGCCACACGCCUGAUCCAGCAAUUCUGUGUGCACGAUGAAGGUCUUCGGAUUGUAAAGUGCUUUCAGUUGGGAAGAAGAAAGUGACGGUACCAACAGAAGAAGCGACGGCUAAAUACGUGCCAGCAGCCGCAGUAA